GAUGAACGCUGGCGGCGUGCCUAAUACAUGCAAGUCGAGCGAACAGACGAGGAGCUUGCUCCUCUGACGUUAGCGGCGGACGGGUGAGUAACACGUGGAUAACCUACCUAUAAGACUGGGAUAACUUCGGGAAACCGGAGCUAAUACCGGAUAAUAUAUUGAACCGCAGGGUUCAAUAGUGAAAGACGGUUUUGCUGUCACUUAUAGAUGGAUCCGCGCCGCAUUAGCUAGUUGGUAAGGUAACGGCUUACCAAGGCAACGAUGCGUAGCCGACCUGAGAGGGUGAUCGGCCACACUGGAACUGAGACACGGUCCAGACUCCUACGGGAGGCAGCAGUAGGGAAUAUUCCGCAAUGGGCGAAAGCUUGACGGAGCAACGCCGCGUGAGUGAUGAAGGUCUUCGGAUCGUAAAACUCUGUUAUUAGGGAAGAACAAAUGUGUAAGUAACUAUGCACGUCUUGACGGUACCUAAUCAGAAAGCCACGGCUAACUACGUG
rnacentral:rRNA from 1 species